GCCCUCGGUGCUUUUCAGGGUGAGAAAUCUCGGCUGUCGGCACCACCAGGCACCGCGGAUCAGGCAUGAGAAAUCACGGUUCUUCCUUUCUUCUCCUCCUCCUUCUCGUCAAUCUAGCUUUUCAUGCUCAACCCGAGGUUAUCCCGUUAACGGCCGACACAUUCUCUGAUAAGAUCAAGGAGCAACACACUGCGUGGUUUGUGAAAUUCUGCGUUCCCUGGUGCAAGCACUGUAAGAAUCUCGGAUCGUUGUGGGAUGAGUUGGGAAAAGCGAUGGAAGGAGAAGAUGAAAUAGAGAUUGGAGAAGUAGAUUGCAGCAUAAACAAACCAGUAUGUGGCAAAGUUGAUAUUCAUUCAUAUCCCACUUUUAAGCUUUUUUAUAAUGGAGAAGAAGUUGCCAGAUACCGUGGUCCAAGGGACGUUGAAUCAUUAAAAACCUUUGUUUUGGAAGAAGCUGAAAGGGCUGCAGCGAGAGCACAACUUGACAUUGAUGAAGAAUUGUAAUAGUUUUCUAGGUAUACCCUGAAUCUCACCCCGCUGCUGGUUUCUCUCUCUCUUCUCCUGAGUCUUUCUAAUUGCACUACAUGAAGGUGCCAGAGGAUCUUGCUCGUGUGUUAGCCUUGGACUUUACCUCAACUACUGUUUGUGUACGAUAAGCAGGUUUUGGGCUUCGUUUUGUAUUAAAAAAAAAAAAAAAAAUAAGAAGAAGAAGAAGAAGUCAACUUCGGUUUUAUGUGGAGUGGCAAUUAAGAAUUGCAUUUCCUACUGCCAUAACCCAGGAUGCUACUGCUAUUCUUCACCACAUGUGCCGCAAGUCUCACAUUAUUGAUUAUCUCAGGUUUCAAGCCGAGAUAAGUGAAGAUACAUUCUGCUCUGCUCCAAUCCUCAUUAUUUAUUCAACGAAGCAGUAGUUAUUUUUGAAGAUUAGUUUGUAUUCUACCCCAUCUAGUUUGAUCCUUUGAGUUCACGAAGUUGAUGAACAUCUCGUUCACAGAGUUUCAAUAUCUGAUAUAGAUGCUGGCAAUUAACCUUGAAUCAUUCUUGAAGGAUUUCGUUUU